CGGACGGGUGAGUAACGCGUGGGUAACCUGCCUUGUACUGGGGGACAACAGUUAGAAAUGACUGCUAAUACCGCAUAAGCGCACAGUAUCGCAUGAUACAGUGUGAAAAACUACCGGUGGUACAAGAUGGACCCGCGUCUGAUUAGGUAGUUGGUGGGGUAACGGCCUACCAAGCCAACGAUCAGUAGCCGACCUGAGAGGGUGACCGGCCACAUUGGGACUGAGACACGGCCCAA
rnacentral:rRNA from 1 species